rnacentral:rRNA from 1 species
UACAUGUGGGGCAAGCGUUGUUCGGAAUCACUGGGCAUAAAGGGUGCGUAGGCGGCUUGUUAAGUCAGGGGUGAAAUCCCACGGCCCAACCGUGGAACUGCCUUUGAAACUGGCGAGCUGGAGUGCGUGAGGGGUAACCGGAACGAGUCGUGUAGCGGUGAAAUGCGUAGAUAUGACUCGGAAGGCCAAAGGCGAAGGCAGGUUACUGGUACGCAACUGACGCUGAAGCACGAAAGCGUGGGGAGCAAACAGG